UAUGAGUGUGUGUGAUGCUUGAUUCAGCAUCACGUGUAACAAUGAGAGAUUUGGCCAUGAAGAAGUACGGAGGAGAUCAAAUCUUUUAUUUUCAUAUUUUAUCAGAACUAUAAACCCAAUAUGUUUUGGUGAAGUUAAUUGGAAUGAACAAAUGUUUAUUGGAAAUUAACUUUAUGAUAGCGUGCAAUUUACUAGUAUAUUAUUAUAAUUCAGGAUGCCAAGUGAGACAAAAGCACGUUUUCUGCAUAUUAGUGUGAGUGAUUGAAGAUUGGUGAUAAGAAAGCAUUAUAUCUAAUGCCAGAACUAAAUGCUUUCCAUAUGGGUCUAGUGUUAGAAAGAAAAACGUUUACCACGUUUAUCCUGUUUCUGAAUGAAUCUCUUUUCAUACAACAAUGCUGAAAAGUCCAGUCAAAUUUAAGGAAUAGAAAUGAAGCCAUUGGUGUCGGUCAUCAAUAUUUCGUUAAUUUUUAGUAUUCUCAACGGAGGAGCGUACACAGAAAGACGAGACAUGGAUCACCAUGAAACGAAUACAAAUCACCAACGUUAUCAACAACAUUACUAUAGUGUAGACGAAUGCGGAAAUGAGAUCAAAUUUGUUGCAAAGAAUGGUAACAAAAGCCAUAUUCAUUUCAAAAAUUAUGCUUGUCAUAAUAAAUUCACGCCAAAACAUAAACGACACGGGCUUCAACAAUUUCGCAGAAAAUUGUACCUUGUACGUCCUAGUACUAUCGCAGAAGAACGUAAUAUCACAAAAUCAUCUUAUGCCGUUCAUUGGCCGGUAAAGCGCGAAGCAGUCGUAGAAGGUGACAUCAUCCUAGGAGGACUAAUGAUGGUGCAUUCCAGGGAGGAUUCUGUUACAUGCGGACCUAUUAUGCCUCAAGGUGGCAUACAAGCGUUGGAAACAAUGUUGUAUACACUAGAUAAAAUCAACAUGGAUAACUUGAUUCCUAACGUAACCAUCGGUGCACAUAUUUUGGAUGAUUGUGAUAAGGAUACGUAUGGCCUUGAGAUGGCGGUUGAUUUUAUAAAAGGAUCAAUUAGCAAUAUAGACGAUGCAACGGAUUAUAACAACUGCAGUAGAGGACAUAAAAAGAAAGUAAUCUCUGGAGUUGUUGGAGCAGCGUCAUCAGUAACUUCCAUUCAAGUGGCCAACUUGUUACGUCUUUUUAGAAUUCCACAGGUGUCAUACUUUUCAACAAGUCCUGAAUUGAGCAAUAAACAACGAUUCGAAUAUUUUUCACGGACUAUUCCAUCGGAUCACUACCAAGUAAAGGCAAUAGUGGAUAUAGUACGGAAACUAGGUUGGAGUUAUAUCUCAAUAAUUUAUGAAGAGAGUAACUACGGUAUAAAGGCUUUCGAGGAGUUGGAUGAACUGCUGUCGAAAAAUGGCAUAUGUAUCGCAAUUAAAGAAAAACUUGUUAAAGACUCCGGUGUAGCAGAGAAGAUCGCAUAUGAUAAUAUUGUACUGAAACUAUUAACAAAGCCGAGAGCAAAAGGUGUGAUAAUAUUUGGAUCCGAUCAAGAAGUGGCAGAAGUCAUGAGAGCAGUUCGGCGACAAAAUGUAACGGGUGUGUUCUCUUGGAUAGGAUCAGAUGGGUGGAGUGCUCGAAAUUUAGUAUCCGAUGGAAACGAAGCUGAGGUCGAAGGAACGUUAUCCGUACAGCCACAAGCCAAUUCCGUAAUUGGAUUCGAAGAAUAUUUUCUCAAUCUGACGGCCUCCAACAACUUCCGAAAUCCAUGGUUUAUAGAAUUUUGGGAGGAUCACUUUCAAUGCAAAUAUCCCGGAUCACCAAUAACUCCUUACAACAUGAUUUAUAGAAAAACAUGUUCAACCACAGAAAAACUCACGAAACAUACCCUUGAUUUUGAGGACCAACUGCAGUUUGUUAGCGACGCUGUAAUGGCCUUUGGUUACGCUCUGAAGAACAUGCACCACGAGUUAUGCAAUGGAAAAGCAGGAUUGUGUGAAGAAAUGAGGCCAACAAAGGGCGCUGAUUUGUUGAAGUUUCUCCGAAAAGCUGACUUUAUUGGAUUAAGCGGUGAUAGAUUCAACUUUGACAGUAAUGGCGAUGGACCUGCUCGGUAUAACAUAAUCCAUUUCAAACAAAUUGAAAUUGAUAAGUAUAAAUGGAUUAAGGUUGGCGAAUACUAUCAAGGAGAACUACGUUUGAAUAUGGAAGAACUACAAUUUGGAAUUAAAAAUCCAAAUGCUCCGGAAUCCGUUUGUAGUAGGCCAUGUGAAAGAGGACAAGCGAAAAAAUAUGUCGAAGGCGAAGGAUGCUGUUGGCAUUGUUUCAACUGUUCGCAAUAUCAGAUUCAAAACCCGACAGACGAGACACACUGCAUAAACUGUCCUCGAGGAACGUUACCGGACGUAUAUCAUGAAAAUUGUCAACACAUAGCCGAAGACUAUUUGAAGCCCGAGUCCCCAUAUGCUAUAGGAGCAAUGUCGUUCAGUUCUCUGGGAAUAAUUAUGACUCUCUUUGUGGUUGGAGUGUUUUUAAAGAAUAAUGAUACACCUAUCGUUCGAGCAUCAGGAAGGGAGUUAAGUUAUGUGCUUUUAAGUGGGAUUUUGUUGUGCUACGGAGUCACAUAUGCAUUAGUUUUCAAACCUAAUGAUAUCGUUUGCGGAGUACAACGAUUUUGGUCAGGAUUUUCGUUCACUGUUGUCUAUGCUGCAUUGUUAACUAAAACUAAUCGAAUUGCACGUAUAUUCAAUGCAAGUACAAAAUCAGCAAAGCGUCCUUCGUUCAUAAGUCCGCAUUCACAGCUAGUUAUAUGUGGAAUUCUGAUAUCUUUUCAGGCUCGAUCUCGAAGAGUUCACAGCCAUUAGCAACCGAAGGCAACAUCGAAGCGCUGAAACGACGCCAAAUAGCAAGAGCCUGCAAAGAUCCGGAAGGCGGCUAGUAUUCGACAUCGAAGAAGUAAGAAAAGGGCAAGCGACAGUAAAGCCCAUCUAAUACGAUAGCAUUGCUAGCACUGAGACGACGUCAGAGUAGAAGGACUCGUGAAGAUUCUCAGGACAACGGCAUUCGACAUUGCAGCCCAUAGUCAAUAGCAGCCGUCGGACGGUUUCGCCGAUAUCGAAGCGACUUCAUGCGACAGCCGAUCGAAGAAGGGCACCGACAACCUGUAUCAGAAGAGAGAGAGAGCAUUGUCCUCGAGCAACCACAAAGUGCUACUAGCGUACUCAAGCGACGACCGGAUAGAAACAACCUGUGAGAUUCCACCCCAGGCAGAGCGUCUUGCAUUCCGCCCGCUGCAAGAACCAAGACCCCUUCUGGAGGGUCUUUUCUCUUGGCCUAUUUUUGCAGCAUCCUACGUUCCACUGAUCAGGCCGGAUCACCGAACCGAAACGACGGAUACAAAUCGGCGGAGAUCGUCUGGGACCUAGGCGAAGGUCGGUGGUAUAAAUUCGACCCACGCAUUACUCACGGUCGACAACCUUACGGUACAAUGACACUUCCCUGUUGUUGAUUAGCACGGUACGGAGAACAGCGGAGUUUGAUUUGAGCACAGGUGGGUGCUAUAUGGAACUACAGUGAAGGAACAGUGAGUAGUAAGACUUAAGAAUGUACGAUAGGAAAUAAAGGAAGCGUGGCUAGCAGGAUGUAAGAAUCUACGAUAGGGAGAAGAUGAAGGUAUGAGAAGAGGAGGAGGAAGACUUAGUAAGAAGAAAGUAGAAAUAAGGAGGAGGAAAUGAAGGGAGCAAUAUAUGGUUGUGUAAGUUACUAAGCAAUGUUUGUUUUGAUUUGAGUUGGUGCAUUUUGUCCUUAG